CAAAAGCAAUAUGUGGUGUUGUCCAGGCUACGAACCUUUUCACACAAGUGCUUCUUGGAAGUUCGGAUGGUUUUGCAUCUUCACCAGAGCACAUCUCCUGAUUUAUAGGUCACUCUCACUACUCUGAAGAUGUAUUGCAAAAUGGACAUAGAUCGCAAUUUUGGCAUCUGAUUCCGGUGGAGCGUGUGACAAUGUGAUGAAGUAAAUUGAGGUAUGCAGCUGCUCCAACUUCUCAAAGCUUAGUUUUUUGUUGAUGUACUUGUUUGUGGUGGUUCAGUGACCUGCUAAGAAGAGUUUCACACGAGAGUGCCCACCCGCCAACCCCUCCCAUUCUUCCAAUGACGCUGCCUUUUCCUGAACGCAUUUUUGAAGCUGAGAUUACCUACAUGGCAAAAUGGGGUUAAGCUGAAUGCCUUAUGUAAAAAGUUCGGUAAGAGAUGGGGGGAGCUGCGGCACCACAUUUAUAGUACCAUUGAGAUCAUACAAUCUCCCGGGACAUACCACAACAAUGUAAUAUGCAAUGAAUUCUAUUCCUUUUUGAAGUUGAAGAAGGAGACAGGAACUAGCGCAAAAGGUCAGCUAGUCUUUCCUGACUAGUUUUUCCCCUAUCAUUCUGCAAUUUCAAGAGUUUCGGCCACCAUCGCAGUGUAGAACGACACUCGUGCCUGUCUUGACCAUGCAAUGUUAAAAUUUGUUUCUCUCACACUCAUCCAUAUACGGUUUUCACCGAGAGAUUCACACUAACUGCAUAACCUUGCAUUCUUCGUUGGCUUACCUGUGGACAUUCCAUAAGUGAAAGCUAAUUUAAAGCAUGCUUGGUCUGAUCAGGGAACUUUAAACUUCGAAGCUCAUGGCAAGGGAGUUGUCACAGCUUUAGAGCAAGAGGGUCAACCAUCAAGUUGAGAUUACGAAGGUCGUAUGAAAAACAAUUGUCGAGCUAGUUUUGACUUUACUGGGCGGUUGACUAUGGUCGGAUGUGAGAACUUCCUCGAGACGUUGGGGAGAAAUCAGUUCACUUCAACAGUUUCGAAUAUGUUUUAGCCCAUAUAAAAAGCAGUGUUAGAGUGUUAAGAUGGACAAUUGCGGAACCUUUUUCCUAUGUAAG
rnacentral:lncRNA from 1 species